GAUGAACGCUGGCGGCGUGCCUAACACAUGCAAGUCGAGCGAUUCUCUUCGGAGAAGAGCGGCGGACGGGUGAGUAACGCGUGGGUAACCUGCCCUGUACACCCGGAUAACAUACCGAAAGGUAUGCUAAUACGGGAUAAUGUGCUUUUAUCGCAUGGUAAAAGUAUCAAAGCUCCGGCGGUACAGGAGGGGCCCGCGUCUGAUUAGCUAGUUGGAAAGGUAACGGCUUACCAAGGCGACGAUCAGGAGCCGACCUGAGAGGGUGAUCGGCCACAUUGGAACUGAGACACGGUCCAAACUCCUACGGGAGGCAGCAGUGGGGAAUAUUGCACAAUGGGCGAAAGCCUGAUGCAGCAACGCCGCGUGAGCGAUGAAGGCCUUCGGGUCGUAAAGCUCUGUCCUCAAGGAAGAUAAUGACGGUACUUGAGGAGGAAGCCCCGGCUAACUACGUGCCAGCAGCCGCAGUAACAC
rnacentral:rRNA from 1 species